ensembl:snRNA LOC120093475 U2 spliceosomal RNA
AUCGCUUCUCGGCCUUUUGGCUAAGAUCAAGUGUAGUAUCAAAUCCAAAUUGAGUUUAUAUUUUCCCUCUAAAUUUUAGAAAAUAUUUCUUUUUAUUUAUGCGUAUGCAUAUCUUGCCUGCACGUAUAUAUGUGAACUGCAUGCAUGAAAUACCCUUGGAGGCCAAAGAGAUCAU